GUGCUCGCUUCAGCAGCACAUAUACGAAAACUGGAACGAUACAGAGAAGAUUAGCGUGGCCCCUGCGCAACGGGGACGCGCAAAUUCACGAAGCGUUCCAUAUUAAA